GAGGCUUGGUGUUUUUGUGGUGGCUGGAUAUCUUGUGGAGUUGCUGAAUUUUAGAGCUAGGACAUGCAUACUUUCCUCUCUAUUUCCAACAGUAAUAACAUCUUCAAUUUUUUAACUACCUUUGAAAUUUUUAUUUUUAUUUUCUUUUCUCCUUAUUUCAGGCUUUGGAGAAUCAUAGGAUUGAUCAGUCGCUUGAACACACUAGCCUGUUUAUUGAGAAGCUGAAGAAAGUGUAGGAAGGCUGCCUAUGUUCUUCACAAAAAGGGUGAAGAAGCUCCUGAAAAUUGAAAGCCUACCGAUCGAUUUUCAGCCCCAAAGAAAUCACUAAAGAAUAAACUGAUGUAUCAACUCACUAAUAGAAAGUUUCCCUAUGCAGCUAAGUUGUGUACACAUGUCCCUUUUUAUAUUCAAGCCAUCCCCUUGAUUUAUGCAAAACUAGGCUACCCAAAACUUAUGCACAACUCCCAUUGCCUUUGAACUGCUAUAACUAGCAUGUGUGGAUUGGUAAAAGUGUGAAUGCACUUGCCCUAAAUGUUUCUAAGGUGUCUAGUUCUCUACAUGAAGUAAAUUUUUCUGAGGGAGUAUUGAAGCUCUCUGGAUAUUUAUUUGGUCAUUCUAAUACUUUCUCCCUAAAGGUAUGCAUGAUUCACAUCCAAACACAACCCAUUACUAGGUUGUGUUUAGAUGCAAUAUUCAUGAACUUCAUAAUUUUAUUCUUUUCAUAUGCACAAUUAUAUCUACUGAUAUUUUCUUUUGAAAUCCAGAACCCGAGAUUUUAAGGAUUCAUCCUGUUUUGUCGAUAAUAUAUGUCACAGUUCUACAUAAUGCUACUACUCAAGCCACAUGCACCUCCCAGAACCGCAUUCAUAAUAUCUCUACAUUCACCAUCAUGAUUUUCUCAUGCUCUUAACCAUUGCAUGUCUUUAAGCAGGUAAUGAAUUUUAUUUACAAGUGCAAUUGCAAUAUUCUUUACAGUCCAUACAUGUGCUCUAAAUAGGACUAGUGUUUUGAUGCAACCAGAAGCAAAUAGAACAUACCCCAAAAAUCUCCUUGAUCGAAAGAUUCUAGCCACCCAACUUGGGAUUUUCUCCAAUGAAUGUGGACCAUUGCCUUGUUUCUCAUAUUAACCAUCUAUUUGCAGGCCGAGAAUUGAAAGGAUAGGACUAAUCUAUCACACAGAUUUUAUUUAUUUAUUUAUUUUAAUAGAGUUGCCCAGUUGAAACUUUUUAGUAUUGUCCACGUCAUCAAAAUUAUGGAACAACAUCUUUCUGCAUAGGAGAGUGGAGUAUAUUCAUCUGGUGGUUGUUUGCACUUUCUUGUCAUGGAUACAUUGGUACUAGACUACUAGUAAGAUGAUGAAUAGCUAUUAAGCCCAUUUUCUUUACUAUAAAGUAGAAUGAUUAUAUGACUCAACAACUCUCUUGAAAUUAUUUCCUUUAUCUGGCCUUGGGACUAGCAAUUAAAGCACAAAACUCCCACAAACACUGUAAUAGUCUAUAACAUGAUUGAUUAAAAUCAAGGAGUUUUAUUUCCCUAUGAAUGUAAGUACAUGUGUAGCUAUAAUCUUGGGCCUUAGAUUAAAUGUUGUGUUUUAUCUUUUGAACAAGUUUCAUUUGAUUUGACAGAGUAUUUGGAACAGCAUCCAGAAGCAUCUAACUGGGGGAUUGGGAUCUCUAGUUUUAGAAAAAAUGCGUUGUUUCAAGAUUACCAUGGACUUAAAACUUUCAGACAGGUGUUUUUUUUUUUUUUUUCAGAUGGCUUUUUCAUUGUUGAAAUUCAAUGUCUCGAGUAGUUUAGUCUAAGAGCUUAUUUGCAUUGAUUACAACCUAAUGUAGCUUAUAUUGUUGUAUUUUCGUGUUGGCAGGUGUUCUGUACUUGUUGGGAAUGUCUAACUUGAAAGUAAUAUAACUGCAGUAUAGAUCCAUAUCCUCAGUACGAAUGUUGAGCAAGGGAAUCACAAUUUUAUUAUUUCUGUUUUAUUAAUUUGCUAAUUGCAAUCCUUUUGGCAAAUGUUCUGCAACAAAAGAUGGUGGAAAACUGAGUGCAUGGUGUCUAGGCUUCAAUUACCAAAAAGAUCUGGCC